UACGUAGGGUGCAAGCGUUGUCCGGAAUUAUUGGGCGUAAAGAGCUCGUAGGCGGUUUGUUGCGUCGGCUGUGAAAUCCCGAGGCUCAACCUCGGGUCUGCAGUCGAUACGAGCAAACUAGAGUGUUGCAGGGGAGACUGGAAUUCCUGGUGUAGCGGUGAAAUGCGCAGAUAUCGAGAGGAACACCUGCGGCGAAGGCGGGUUGCUGGGCUGACACUGACGCUGAUGCGCGAAAGCCAGGGGAGCGAACGGG
rnacentral:rRNA from 1 species